CAAGUUCGUCGAAGUUUGUUCAAUACGGUAUUGUUUCUAAUACUCAUUGCCCUGAUUUUUACAUCUUGACAAUCUUUUUUGAGCAGAUUGCUCGUCAUUUUUAGGGAAUGCAGGAAAUGCAAACAGAAACCGGUAUCGUGAAAUGGUUCAAUAACGAAAAAGGCUACGGCUUUAUCUCCCCCGACAACGGUGGCAAAGAUCUUUUCGUUCACCAUUCCGACAUCUUGGGCACGGGCUUUAAAUCCUUGGAAGAAAACCAACGCGUUUCGUACGUGUCGGCUGAAGGCCAAAAGGGUCCACAAGCUAAGAGCAUCCAAAAACUGUAAAUCGAUUUCGAUCAGUUUUUAGAUCUCAAAAAAGCCCGCUUAAUGCGGGCUUU
rnacentral:sRNA from 1 species